rnacentral:lncRNA from 1 species
AGAUUUUGAGGGGAAAGAGAGCAAGGUUCUACAUAAUUCGCCGUUGUGUAUUCAUGCUGCUUUGUUGGAGGGAUCAUGGAGACAAAAAUAACCGGUAAAGUUCAACAUUCAUGCUAGAUGAUGUUUUAAGCAUUAGAUUAGAACAAAAAUAGCAACACUACUUGUAAAAACUAGAGCCCUAGAUCAUAUGGAGAGGUUCACUCACUCAAUUUGCUAAAGAAGGCAAUGGAAU